rnacentral:rRNA from 1 species
UACGUAGGGACCAAGCGUUGUUCGGAUUUACUGGGCGUAAAGGGCGCGUAGGCGGCGCUGUAAGUCACUUGUGAAAUCUCCGGGCUUAACUCGGAACGGUCAAGUGAUACUGCAGUGCUAGAGUGCAGAAAGGGCAAUCGGAAUUCUUGGUGUAGCGGUGAAAUGCGUAGAUAUUGGGAGGAACACCAGUGGCGAAGGCGGCUCACUGGACCGGUACUGACGCUGAUGCGCGAAAGCGUGGGGAGCAAACGGG